GAUGAACGCUAGCGGCGUGCUUAACACAUGCAAGUCGAACGGUGAACGAGGGAGCUUGCUCCCUCCGGAUCAGUGGCGAACGGGUGAGUAACACGUGAGCAAUCUGCCCUGGACUCUGGGAAUAAGCGUUGGAAACGACGUCUAAUACCGGAUACGAGGCGUGGGGGCAUCCCCAACGCCUGGAAAGAACUUCGGUCCAGGAUGAGCUCGCGGCCUAUCAGCUAGUUGGUGAGGUAACGGCUCACCAAGGCGACGACGGGUAGCCGGCCUGGGAGGGUAACCGGCCACACUGGGACUGAGACACGGCCCAGACUCCUACGGGAGGCAGCAGUGGGGAAUAUUGCACAAUGGGCGCAAGCCUGAUGCAGCAACGCCGCGUGAGGGACGACGGCCUUCGGGUUGUAAACCUCUUUUAGCAGGGAAGAAGCGAAAGUGACGGUACCUGCAGAAAAAGCACCGGCUAACUACGUGCCAGCCGCCGCCGUAACAC
rnacentral:rRNA from 1 species